GCCGGCAUGUCGGAAUUGGCAGACGAGACAGACUCAAAAUCUGUUAUGGGUAACCAUGUGUGGGUUCAAGUCCCACUGCCGGCA
rnacentral:tRNA from 1 species